rnacentral:rRNA from 1 species
UAUGUUAGCUUGCUAGAAUAUUUAGUAGCAAAUGGGUGAGUAACACGUACCUAACCUACCUUUUGGACCGGGAUAACCAUUGGAAACAGCGGCUAAUACCGGAUAUGAUAAAAAAAUGCAUGUUUUUUUAUCAAAAGAAGCCUUUAAAGCUUCACCAAAAAAUGGGGGUGCGCAACAUUAGUUAGUUGGUAGGGUAAAGGCCUACCAAGACGAUGAUGUUUAGCGGGGCCUAGAGGCUGUACCGCCACACUGGGAUUGAGAUACGGCCCAGACUCCUACGGGAGGCAGCAGUAAGGAAUAUUCCACAAUGAGCGAAAGCUUGAUGGAGCGACACAGAGUGCAGGAUGAAGUCUUUAGGGAUGUAAACUGCUGUUGUAAGGGAAGAAAAAACUAGAUAGGAAAUGAUUUAGUCUUGACGGUACCUUAUUAGAAAGUGACGGCAAACUAUGUGCCAGCAGCCGCGGUAAUACAUAGGUCGCAAGCGUUAUCCGGAAUUAUUGGGCGUAAAGCGUCCGCAGGUUUUUUGUUAAGUUUAAGGUUAAAUGCUAAAGCUCAACUUUAGUUCGCUUUAGAUACUGACAAAAUAGAAUUAUGAAGAGGUUAGCGGAAUUCCUAGUGGAGCGGUGGAAUGCGUAGAUAUUAGGAAGAACACCAAUAGGCGAAGGCAGCUAACUGGUCAUAUAUUGACACUAAUGGACGAAAGCGUGGGGAGCAAACAGGAUUAGAUACCCUGGUAGUCCACGCCGUAAACGAUGAUCAUUAGUUGGUGGCAAAAGUCACUAGCACAGCUAACGCGUUAAAUGAUCCGCCUGAGUAGUAUGCUCGCAAGAGUGAAACUUAAAGGAAUUGACGGGAACCCGCACAAGCGGUGGAGCAUGUGGUUUAAUUUGAAGAUACGCGUAGAACCUUACCCACUCUUGACAUCCUCGCAAAACUAUAGAGAUAUAGCGAG